UACACACCGCCCGUCACACCAUGGGAAUUUGUUGCACCAGAAGUAGGUAGUCUAACCGCAAGGAGGACGCUUACCACGGUGUGGCCGAUGACUGGGGUG
rnacentral:rRNA from 1 species